rnacentral:lncRNA from 1 species
GCUAAAGGCAUUGUAUUACUGAAGUGCUAGCUUUGAUAGGGCUGAAAAAAAACUCUAGUAUAGAGUAGCUUUUGGUCUAAGGAGCUGGACCCUGCAUUCUGCCCAGGCCCUGCCUUGACACUGAGUUCCAGAAGCCAGGUCCUUGCUUUGCUCCCUCACUUCUGCUUCCUACUUCAGACUCACUCUGGAGCCCCAGGUUGUGGAUGGCCAUAUUCUUUCCUUCCUGCAAGCCAAGGAAACAUUUCUCAACACUUACCCUGAUGCCAACCACAAAGUCCUAAAUAUGAUUUUCCUCUGAAUUCAAUUUUUAAAGAAGAGCAUAUCCAAAUGUUACUCAGAGAGUACUACCAAAGUGCCUGCCUGAGAGUGGCUGGUUCACAGACCUUCAGCUUCUGGUGUCUUUAAUACCCCAUGAGUGGGCCUUGAGGCAAGUAUGAAAACAGGUUUUUACUUCGAAAUAUAAGUGCAAAUAAUAACAAGACUCUAUCAUUUGAAAGCUGAAGAUGGAUGGCUAAUUUACAUAUGUAGUGUUUUAAAAGAUAGCCCAUUUAAAAUAAAACACAA